AUUUUAUAAUGUCUUCGAUCUAGGUUACCUACGGAAUUCAUUCUAUGGUGACUUAGACGAUAGGGUAUAGAAGGAAACUUCUAUGCCUCCCGCAUUAGGAAAGGAGACACAUUAUGAACCGG
rnacentral:ncRNA from 17 species